GAAUUCGCCCUUAGAGUUUGAUCCUGGCUCAGGAUGAACGCUGGCGGCGUGCCUAACACAUUCAAGUCGAACGGACUUGUCUUGCUUAAUCCUUCGGGAAGCGGCGGGACAAGUUAGUGGCGGACGGGUGAGUAACGCGUGAGCAACCUGCCUGUGAUAGAGGGAUAACACAUGGAAACGUGUGCUAAUACCACAUGACUCAACGAGGUCGCAUGACCAUGUUGUUAAAGGGAAACCGAUCACAGAUGGGCUCGCGUUGGAUUAGAUAGUUGGUGAGGUAACGGCUCACCAAGGCGAUGACGGGUAGCCGGUCUGAGAGGAUGUCCGGCCACACUGGAACUGAGACACGGUCCAGACACCUACGGGUGGCAGCAGUCGAGAAUCAUUCACAAUGGGGGAAACCCUGAUGGUGCGACGCCGCGUGGGGGAAUGAAGGUCUUCGGAUUGUAAACCCCUGUCAUGUGGGAGCAAAUUAAAAAGAUAGUACCACAAGAGGAAGAGACGGCUAACUCUGUGCCAGCAGCCGCGGUAAUACAGGGGUCUCAAGCGUUGUUCGGAAUCACUGGGCGUAAAGCGUGCGUAGGCUGUUUCGUAAGUCGUGUGUGAAAGGCGCGGGCUCAACCCACGGACGGCACAUGAUACUGCGAGACUAGAGUAAUGGAGGGGGAACCGGAAUUCUCGGUGUAGCAGUGAAAUGCGUAGAUAUUAGGAGGAACACCAGUGGCGAAGGCGGCUUACUGGACUGUAACUGACGUUGAGGCUCGAAAGCGUGGGGAGCAAACAGGAUUAGAUACCCUGGUAGUCCACGCGGUAAACGAUGAUUACUAGGUGUCGG
rnacentral:rRNA from 1 species